rnacentral:rRNA from 1 species
UACGGGGGGGGGCAAGCGUUGUUCGGAAUUACUGGGCGUAAAGGGCGCGUAGGCGGCUCGCUAAGUCGGGUGUGAAAACUCUGGGCUCAACCCAGAGCCUGCAUUCGAAACUGACGAGCUAGAGUUCUGGAGGGGAAAGCGGAAUUCCUGGUGUAGCGGUGAAAUGCGUAGAUAUCAGGAGGAACACCAAUGGCGAAGGCAGCACUCUGGGACGUGACUGACGCUGAGAAGCGAAAGCAUGGGGAGCGAACAGG